AAGCUCUCUUGUCUCUCUCCAUCUGGGCUGCAUUGAGCUAAGAAGGUCAGGGGCAUAUUGUGUGGACAGUACACAUGCCAGACUUCGGAAGCCAGCGAGAGAAGCAGUCCAUCCCACUUGACAUACACUCAGCACAUAUCCUGCUGGAAUUCAGAGCAACGGGUAUCCUACUGAAAGGUCCCUUCUUAGACCUUUGGUUGCCUGGCAAAAAGAG
rnacentral:lncRNA from 1 species